rnacentral:piRNA from 1 species
UAGUUACUCCUCAAAUGUUACAAUGUGUCGC